CUUUUGUCUAAUUUUAUUGUAUUUAUCGCAUACAUUUGUAAUUAUAAUUGUUUGAGAAAUAUAAAUAAAAGAUCAAUAUGGCAAAUGAAGUAUAUUGAUGAUAGUUUGAUUUUAGCUAUAUUUACUUGCAUCUAACGAAAUAUAUUUACGAAAUUUUUAAUUUCAUAAUGCUGUUUUAGUAAUUGGACAUUUGUACAUGGAGAUAUAAAUAAUACCUUAAGUAUUGUUGUAUCAUAAUAGUGGUAUACAUGUGGUCUACGAAUUCAAUUUUUACGAGAUAUCGGAUCUAAAAUGUGAUGAUAUUUUUAAUUUAUUUCGUGAAUUAUAACUAUAGAUUUCGGAUUUUUUUGUUGGCUGUAGGGAUGGAGGGAGUUGUAUAUAAGUAAGCACAACGAGAUAGUUGCAAAGGCAUAUUUGGUAAUGAAUAAUGUAGAAAACGCUUUAGCUUAUCAGUCAGUUAAAGUAGGGAAUUAUUUGAAACUGGUUGAAUUCAUGAAGUUGAGGCAAUUUGGAUUCAAAGAUGUACAAGUGUUCUUUGUCAAACCAAAGCUCAAUUUGGUUGGCUUGCACUGCUAAAUCAUAUAGCUUCACCUGCUGGUUAUUUGGUUGGGCUUUUCCUUUAAUGAAGUAUUCACAAAUUGCAUAACUGGGAUGAUGUCUUGAGCUUUUGGCAGUCUUUUUGACAGUGAGUUUUAUGCAUGCAGAUGGUGUACUAUGGUGUGCGUAGAUGGUUCCGUGCUGCAAAUCUUUAACUGCAUAAAGCAGCAUAGCUUGCAAGGAUUCAAUGACUUCCGACGAAAACCUACAGCAACAGCUUGGAAGAGCGUAGGCUAUUAUGCAGCAUACGCAGCUACACAUAAGCUUCGGUUACCUGGAAAAGGGUCGAGGGUCCAAUAGCUUCUGCUAGAAUUUGGCCUAUAUACAAGGUACUAAGGUUUGCCGAUCUCCCUUUCUGUCUGCAUGCAUCAAUCUUCAGGAGUAAAAUGCUUGACUAGGCCAUUAUUUAAGUGGAUUUUGUAGUGUCAGGACUUACAUUAGGACUGCAGUUAACUUCGUGCUUACAUCGGUUUUCAUUAAAAUAUGCAUUUUCACUUACUCAUUGCAGGCAAAUGUUGUUGCAUGAUAUGCAGUAACAUUGAUUACAUAUCUUGUGUUUGAUAGUAAGAUUUUUUUUAACAAAAUUUGCUCAAAUUGGCAUGUACACUCUGCUUGAUAUUGCUGGCUUUUUUUAUUUUGGAGUUAAUUUGAAGGUAUGGAGUAUGAUGACUAAAAUUGUUAGCCCUUACUUGAAUCCAGUUCUUUAAUAUUCAUUUUUCUCAAACUUAUUUUAAGAAUAAUUUUGUAUGUACAAUCAAAAUACUUUCCUAUAUUUUCUUUUCAUUUUUACUUUACUUAUUUUUAAAUCUGUUCAUUUUCUUUUAAACCUACCUCUUUUUACACCAAAAAUUGAUUACAAAAUGCUAGAAAUUCUCCCUCCUUUACCUGGGGAUUUUUAAAAAAUCGUGGACUGCCAUUCGGUAUAGAAACAAUUUUACUCAAUCUGCUUCCUGUCAUUUGAAUCAGAACAAAUCACAAUCUAUGUUUAUCAAUCAGUGAAUAAUGGUAGAAGUUUAUUUUAUACUUCUUGAGUCUCACAAACUUGUGCUUUUGCUUUAAUUUUAGGUUUCUUGUGGUAUAUAUUUGUGAAAGUUUCAGUUUAGUAUAGGCGUGACCAUUAUGCGGUGGCUGAGUCUGUCAAUUGAUGUUUUUCGUUUUGUUAUCUCCUUUAAUUUGUACUGCAAGGGUAUUCUAUAACUUAUCCUUUCAUGUGUUGAAUUCAACCUAAUUGUUUUUUCCAUUAUCUUCUUUAUCUCUGGCUAUCGAUGGGAUCCAAUCACCUUUCUUUCAAGUGUUUUAUCUCAAAUUUAGAUAGAAUUAAUCUAUUUGUACCAAAUAUCUUACCGAAUUGACACGUGGCGCCCCUAUUGGAGGGGCGCAUAUCCAUCCAAUAAGAACGCGACACUUAUCAAUUCGGUCAUUCAUUUGGUAAA
rnacentral:lncRNA from 1 species